rnacentral:lncRNA from 1 species
UUCUUUCGUCCUCGUGCAAGUGAGCAAAGGCCAAUUCGAUUGCGACGGCACAGGGAGAAACACAAUUCACUCGUAUCCCGUAUUUGCCUAACUCAGCUACAACAUUCCUAGUAAGGCCUAAAACAGCAUGUUUAGAGCCUGUAUAUGCAUGAGGUACUAGGCCACCUAUAACACUUGAAACACUACAGGUUGAAAUGAUUGAACCCUUUUCUUGUGGGGUCAUAAUUGUCGAAGCAUGUUUUAUUCCAAGGAGAACACUUUUGACAUUUACAUUCAUUACGGUUGACCAAAUCGAUGAUUUAAUUGGUCAAACUUCAGUUCGAUUCAAUUGAAUAAUUAUUUUUAAAAAAAUUGGUUCAAUUUAUCCAUUCUCUUAUUUUGGACUAAUACUCUCUCUAGUUUGAUCCGGUUUUAAAAUAAUGAUUUUUAUAUUUAGAAUUGAGAUAAAACAACAUUUAGUCUUUGAAUUUUGUAACUUUUUCAAUUGGUCCCUAAACCAUAUUUUGUUCUUAUUAGUCCUAAACUUGAUUUAUGUCAAUAUAUAAUGACGUGACACUUUGAUAUUAUGCCACAUCACCAUAUUAUAAUUUACACUUUUGAUAUAAAAUCUAAAAAUUGUAAAUAUAAAAAUUAUCUUUUUAAAAAUAUUAUUUUUGAUAUGAUAAAUCAACCAAUCAUUCCAAAUUAUUUAAUUGAAGGUAAAUUGAAAACCUUCCAGAAAAAUAGAAAAUAUUUUUCACUGUUGAUUAUAUAUAAACUAGGUAUAACCAUUUAAUCAAAUUAAAUCGAGUUAAAAAAUAUCGAGUUAAUCAAGUUGACAAAUCUUAUUUUAACAAUUGAAUUCAAUUCAAUUUUUUUUAAUUGAAUUGAGUUAUAAAAUUUUUAAUCAAAUCAAGUUGAAUUAACAAAUCUUAUUAUUUAUACUCAAUGUUGAGUUUACAUAGACCGAUAUUUUAACUACAUAAACAAUAUAACAAUUUUAAAAUUUAACUUAACGAGUAAAAAUUUAUUGACAUAAAUUUGCCUUUUAACUUCAUAAUUUUAACUUUUCUCAUUCGAAUUUUUAAAUAACUCAAAUUAUAUAAUUAAUAUUUGAGUUAAAAUAAAAAAAAUUAACUUUUUUAUUCGAGAUUAAUACAGAAUUUUCUCUAAAAGCAAAAUUCCUUAACGUUUUAUUUCAACAUUCCCUUUAUUAUACAGUGUAACUUCUCAAUUUUUUUCCCAAACUUCACUCCAUAAUUAUUCAAUGCAUCAGAAUUCUCCAAGAGCCUGUAUAUGCAUGAGGGCCUAGGCCUCCGAUGACACUUGAAACACUAUAGGUUCAAAUCAUUGAACCCUUUUCAUGUGAGAUCAUAAUUCUAGCAGCAUGUUUCAUU